rnacentral:rRNA from 1 species
AGAAUCAACGCUGGCGGCGUGCCUCAGACAUGCAAGUCGAACGCGAAAGUCCCCUUCGGGGGACAAGUAGAGUGGCGCACGGGUGAGUAACACGUAGGUAAUCUACCUUUGGAUGGGGAAUAACAACCGGAAACGGUUGCUAAUACCGCAUAAUGCAGCGGCACCUAAUGGUGACAGUUGUUAAAGCGGGGAUCGAAAGACCUCGCGUCUGAAGAGGAGCCUGCGGCGGAUUAGCUAGUUGGUAAGGUAAUGGCUUACCAAGGCUACGAUCC